AUCCCAUUACGAAAUGAACACAGAAAAGGCAGGUCUGCAAUGCCAACAUCUAGUAUCUAUCCCAAAGACCAGGGAGAAAGGAAGGAAAGAUUCUGGUUCUGUCCUCUUCCCCAAGGCAAGGCUGGCUGCCCUACCAACAGAGGCAAAGAGAAGAGUGUGCAAGGCUGGCUGCCCUCCCAACAGAGGCAAAGAGGAGUGUGUGUUGAAAUAUCCAUUGAAUCCCUGAGACAACUGGAUCCUGGCCCAUUGAAUCAUAAACUCAGAAACCAUGCCGAUUACCGACCGAGCUCUCAAUGGAAAAAUGCAGUCGGCGUGAACCACGCACGAACACAGCAGAGAAAGAAGAAAACACACACCACGAGGAACCCUAAUAGGACAAUACAUUAUAAGUCACAGUGCUACGGAGAAACCCAGUAGCCACAUGGAAGCAGAGACCAUGCAUAUGCAUCUACUCCGCAGCUCUGUGAAUGUCAGCAGCUCCCACGGACUGGAGAUCCCGUGAGAUCCCGUGAGAUCUCACCCAUAGCCUCAUGGUACAUCCACUUGGUGUGCUGGGAGAGUCAGGAUGAGGACCUGAGAAGAACAGCAGCUUGAACCUGACUUCAUUUAACAGCCCACUGCCCUCUUGCCAAGAACCCAUCACAGACCUUCCCAGAAGAGAGGGAUGAGCCUCACCUAUGAAUAAGUCCUCAGAAACUCAAAUUUGAUUCUAAUGGAUUGUUUUCUCAGAAAGACUGAGCAUGUCCCCCCACAUCUCUGUCAUUUCCCACAGUAGUAACCUCUGCAGAUGCCACAUAGAAAACAAAACAAAACAAAAAAACAUGAGGUUGGUGGGCAGAUAGGCAGGGUAUAAACAAACAGCCUUGUAACCCAGAAGCUGUGUGAUAUACAGUAAACUUCACAACACUGAAAAGAUGUCCUAUCUGUUAAAAUGGGGUAAUAACAACUACCCGAAUGUUUAGGAAUAGAACUUCAAUAAAUGAUACAUUUUAUAGUACAGCA
rnacentral:lncRNA from 1 species